GAGACAGCGAUACCAAGCUCCUGGAGCGCUGGUGAGGGCGACAGAGAGGAGGAGAAGAAAACGAUGAGAGGAGGGAGGGAGAGGGGGACAGGAGAGAAAGAGGGAGAAAGUGGGAAAAAAGAGUAGGAGAUGCAGAGCGAGGGAAGUAAGAGAGUAAGAAAAGAAGAAACAAAGGAGAAGAAGGGAGGUAGAGGGAGAAAGACGGUAGAAGGGAGGAUGGAGAUAGUACAGGAGCGGGAGGAAGAAAGGGAGAGUGUGUCUGGGGGGGAAAAAGGAGGGAGUUUUGAGUGAUAGCGAACACACUGUAGAUGAAAGCUUUGAGAAGAGCAGGACGCUGAGAAGUAUCAGCGCUGUCAGAGCAUGUUCAACCCUCAGGGACAGCCGGGGGCCGGCCGUCAGCUUUUAUUUGGAGAGCAGAUAGUUUUCCACCUGCAGCCCUGGAAUCAGCUGAGAGGUUGAGUUAAGGCGUGUGACCAGCUUGGCAUCAGACCAUCUCACUCAGCGAGGGAAGAAGAGAGCGGCUGUGUUCAAACUGCCCUCCAGUGGAGACAGUGCAUGCUGCACCCACGCUGUCCCAUUUUAGUCUCAUUGCCCAGAGUGUUUCUUAUUGUUAACCACCUUUGCUACCACUGCAGUCACUUUAACAUAGGUAGCAGAGGAUAAGUGUACCAACAGAGAAGAGGUGAGUAUUCUCAGUUCACUACUUUUAAUACUAAUGAGGCAGGUUUAUUGAAAGGUGGAUGUUUCUCCCCCUGCUGCCCUCUGAGAGCAAUAAAGUGACUGCGAACACUGGUGGUGUCAGUGGCUUGUUCCUUUCACUGAGUCACCGAAGAUGAACUCCUGACUUCACACUGCCUCUGUGCUGUGCCACAGCACUGUGAGUGUGUGUGUGUGUGG